GACGAACCGUGCGAACGUUGUUCGGAAUCACUGGGCUUAAAGGGCGCGUAGGCGGGCCACCAAGUCAGGGGUGAAAUCCUGCGGCUCAACCGUAGAAGUGCCUUUGAUACUGGCGGCCUGGAGGGAGGUAGGGGCGUGCGGAACUUCCGGUGGAGCGGUGAAAUGCGUAGAUAUCGGAAGGAACACCAGUGGCGAAAGCGGCGCGCUGGACCUCUUCUGACGCUGAGGCGCGAAAGCCAGGGGAGCAAACGGG
rnacentral:rRNA from 1 species